CCCUUAGAUGUUCUGGGCCGCACGCGCGCUACACUGACGAUGGCAACGAGUUUUUCCUUCGCCGAAAGGUGUGGGUAAUCUUUUGAAACAUCGUCGUGCUGGGGAUAGAUCAUUGCAAUUUUUGAUCUUGAACGAGGAAUUCCUAGUAAGCGCGAGUCAUCAGCCCGCGUUGAUUACGUCCCUGCCCUUUGUACACACCGCCCGUCGCUACUACCGAUUGAAUGAUUUAGUGAGGACUCCUGAUUGGCGCCGCCGCCCCGGCAACGGAGCAGCGGACUGCCGAAAAGUUGUUCAAACUUGAUCAUUUAGAGGAAGUAAAAGUCGUAACA
rnacentral:rRNA from 1 species